AUCCAUUGCAUCAGCUAGCAACUCAAUCUGCCUGCCUGCAAUCAAUCCAAUCGGUGAGCAACUCAAUCUGCCUGCCUGCCUGCCUUGUGUCUUCAAUUUGACCCUAACCACCACUCCAAGAUUGAAGGGAGAGGGAAAGGAAGAUGGACGGGGAGAAUGGUGUUUAUUAGUAUUUUAAGCUUGAAGAUUAAUUGCUUAACAACUUGCUGACUGCCAAAGGAAUCUUCCCAAGAAAUUGGGCUGGACACUCUUCUAAUCCCAACAUGAAGGGAACACCCGGAAAAACACCUGUGGCAACAGCAAUACUAGAGCAAGAUGGUGAAUGAAAUAAUAAUUGAAUUAUCUUGGAUGAUCAGAUUCCAGUGAUAGAUGAUAGAUGAUAGAUGAU